rnacentral:rRNA from 1 species
AGAACGAACGCUGGCGGCGUGCCUAACACAUGCAAGUCGAACGAGAAAUCGGGCACUCAGGCAACUGAGUGCCGGAGAGUAAAGUGGCGCACGGGUGAGUAACACGUGGGUAACCUACCCCCGAAUCUGGGAUAACUUCGCGAAAGCGUUGCUAAUACCGGAUAUUGUCCUUUUGGUUGUGACCUUUGGGAUGAAAGGCAACCUCUUCAUGAAAGUUGUCGUUCAGGGAUGGGCCCGCGUACCAUUAGCUUGUUGGUGGGGUAACGGCCCACCAAGGCUACGAUGGUUAGCUGGUCUGAGAGGAUGAUCAGCCACACUGGAACUGAAACACGGUCCAGACUCCUACGGGAGGCAGCAGUGAGGAAUUUUGCGCAAUGGGGGAAACCCUGACGCAGCAACGCCGCGUGAGUGAAGAAGGCUUUCGGGUCGUAAAGCUCUGUCAAGUGGGAAAAAAGUCUGAUGAUUAAUAGUUGUCAGAUCUGAUGGUACCACUGGAGGAAGCACCGGCUAACUCCGUGCCAGCAGCCGCGGUAAUACGGAGGGUGCAAGCGUUGUUCGGAAUUACUGGGCGUAAAGGGCGUGCAGGCGGGUUGGUAAGUCAGAUGUGAAAGCCCUGGGCUUAACCCAGGAAGUGCAUUUGAAACUGCCAUCCUAGAGUAUGGGAGAGGAGAGUGGAAUUCCCAAUGUAGAGGUGAAAUUCGUAGAUAUUGGGAGGAACACCCGUGGCGAAGGCGACUCUCUGGACCAAUACUGACGCUGAGACGCGAAAGCGUGGGGAGCAAACAGGAUUAGAUACCCUGGUAGUCCACGCUGUAAACGAUGAGAACUAGGUGUAGCGGGUAUUGACCCCUGCUGUGCCGAAAGUUAACGCAUUAA